CUGGUCUCUCUGUUGAGUCCAUGAUGAGAACAUCAUCUUUCUCCUUUACAUUCUCCACAUUUAAUAAACCUUUCACAGUAACACUUCAAUGCCUCUUUCUUUGCAGAAUUACUAAAUGCAGAUGCAUCUUUCCACACUUCUCACCCACAAUAUCUCAAUUCUCUCUGAUAGAAGAGGACAACAUCAAGGAUGUAUGGAUCUUUCAUCGCAUCAAUGCAAAAGGACUUUUCAUUUGACUGCAGCCAUGCUGGAGCACCACCUUUAUUUGAGCAACUUGACCCCAGGACUUAUUCUUUUGACAAUAUACACACAGGAAGGCUGUUUCAAAACAUUAUGCAAUGUUCUGCUGUGGAAGUGAGUGUGAGAACAAAGAUUAUAGAAAGAAAAUACAGAAAGUAGGCAGACAUCCGAAAAAUAAAAUAAUUGUGAAAAAUUAUUCCUAAUAAGAGAAGUUAUGGCUGUUUUUGCCUGGUAAGCGACAGGAAACGCUCCUCUGUCUUUCAUUCAAUUGUUGAGCAAGAUCUCACUUCUAAAGGGCUUCCAUUUUAAAACAGGUAAAACAGGUAUUAAUGUCAAGGGCUAUCUUGUAAAAUUUGAAAUGUUUGUUUGGUAAGUAGUAGAUAUUUAACAAUCCAAAUGUAGACAUGAAGCAUUAGAAAGCUAAUUAUAAAUAGAUAAAUGUGGUGUGUGAAAAAAAGUACUACAGAUGUGAUAUCAGCUUAUCCACCUUUCAAAUGCAUGGAAGAUGAUAAAGAUGAUAUUAAAAAAAAUUGUUUA